GACGAACGCUGGCGGCGUGCUUAACACAUGCAAGUCGAACGGAAAGGCCCUGCUUGCAGGGUACUCGAGUGGCGAACGGGUGAGUAACACGUGGGUGAUCUGCCCUGCACUUCGGGAUAAGCCUGGGAAACUGGGUCUAAUACCGGAUAGGAGCCAUUUUUAGUGUGAUGGUUGGAAAGUUUUUUCGGUGUAGGAUGAGCUCGCGGCCUAUCAGCUUGUUGGUGGGGUAAUGGCCUACCAAGGCGGCGACGGGUAGCCGGCCUGAGAGGGUGGACGGCCACAUUGGGACUGAGAUACGGCCCAGACGCGUACGGGAGGCAGCAGGGGGGAAUAUUGCACAAUGGGCGCAAGCCUGAUGCAGAGACGCCGCGUGGGGGAUGACGGCCUUCGGGUUGUAAACUCCUUUCGCUAGGGACGAAGCUUUUUGUGACGGUACCUAGAUAAGAAGCACCGGCUAACUACGUG
rnacentral:rRNA from 1 species